GUUAGUAAUUAAAGAAGUUAAGGGACCAAAUGGUAAAGAAGAAAAGUUUAGGGACCAAAUGUUGAUAUAGAAAAGAAAGAAAAGAAAAGAAAGAAGAAAAAGGAGGAGGAAGAGAAGAAGGAUCGGCUGCGUCGUCCAUGGCCGGUGGUGGUGAGCUUUAGAGGUGCGGCGAAAUUGGUUGAAAGGGCAGUGAAGGCCGGCGGGCUCAGGGGUGGCGACGGUGGCAGCUUUGGGGAAGUCGGCAGGCAGCAAAAGGGAAGGAAAGCUGCAGCAGCUAUCGAUGCCAUUCAAGGCGUUUCCAGCGACGGCGGUAGGAGAUUUCGGUGGCGAUCGACUCCCCUCGGCCUGAGUUUCAUUUCGGCAGUGUUGGUGAUGCAAUUGGUGGCCGGAGUUGGAAGUUUGCGGUGGAGAGAGAAACUGGAGGCAGCUGAAGUUUUCAAGCUUUUUCGACGAGUUUCGGCGAGCUAUGGCCGAUCGGAGGGCAUAUCCAGACUCUCCUCAGCUCAAGCUUUUCAAUGGCACCAGUUUCGCUGCGACCGGAUUCCGUUUGAAGAUCGUUUGUAAAUUUCUCUGGAUGAUCAGGGGUCGGAUUGGAAUAUCGGAAGCUGGGAUCGUCAUCAGCGCAUUGUUUCAAGUCCGUAGGCGCAUUCAGAUCAUCGAUCGGACUCCGACGGUUGGAGGCGAGUCGACCGAGUGAUCAAACGUCUCGGUGCGGUUAGUUUUCUGCAGUUCUUUUUAUCUAGCACCCCGACUCCUUCAUCCUCGGAUUAGAUGUAGCUGAAUUCAUUGGUAUGUUAACUUUUAAAAUUCUAGAUUCUCCGCAGUAGAAAUUUUAGACUUAUCAGUUUGUAAUUUUAUGUAAAUUCAGGUCUUGCCUAAUUAUGCUGGUAGACCGAAUUAAAUAUGUAGGAUUUGAUGGUUAAGAUUAAUUGUGAAUCAGUGCUUUGGAUUGA